AUGUCCUUCAUGCGCGGCCACUACUGGGCGGGAAUGAAGGCCAGCUGGAUCAUUCUCAUCCACCAAUCCGGUAGUCUGUGGCGUCUCGUGGAUAUCUACACCCAGCGAGAGAUCACCCUUCCAUCGUUGGAUACCGCCGCCAUCGAGCCUCGCGGCCCACCGGACACUCCUUCCUACUAUGCACGAGACGCGUCAAGCUUCUGGCUCGACCUCUGUUUGCUGAAAGUUGUAAUCUGCGAAGUACCCACACCAUCAGAACACUACAUGGAUUACAAGCUCAUUGCCUACAGACGCAAAUGCGCUGGCCUUCAUGAUUCCAGGACCUGGAAUCAUACCAACCGAUGGGUGGUGUACCAUAUAACUGGAAUUAACCGAUGCAAGUCGAAGAAGGAUUGGCUGGUGCUGCCGGCUGGCGUCAAGUUCGAUCCCACGGAUCAGGAGCUGAUCGAGCACCUUGAGGCCAAACUAAGUGCUGACAGCGCGAGAUCUCACCCUCUCAUCGAUUUGUUCAUACCAACCAUCGACAGCGAGCACGGCAUAUGCUACACCCAUCCUGAGAAACUUCCAGCGCAAUUCCAGGGCGUUCAAAAGGGGCACAUGGACGCGUCGCAAGAUACAGUCAGAGUGCGGCAUGCAUGCGAUGUGGCACAAGACCGGCAAUGCCUUGUCGGUGAUGGUCAACGGUCGGUAGACGGGCAGCAAAAAGGUUCUGGUCUGCACACCAACAAGAACUUCGACCAGCAGAGGACCAACUGGGUGAUGCACCAGUACCACCUCGGGAACUGGAGCAAGAGAAGGAGCGGGAGCUGGUCCUCUGCAAGAUUUUCUACCAAACGAACACUAGGGCCAGGAGUAAAAAGAUUAUAA
rnacentral:rRNA from 1 species